CUUUGAAAUGUCAGAUCUUUCUUUUUUGUUGCCUUUUCCUGAUUUUAAACUUUCUGCUUUUUUUCCCUACUAGUCCAUUGCAGGAGUUGAGGGCUUCCUUUCCUCCUGUUCCCUACUUUUUUUUUUCUUAGUCUCCUCUCUGGAUUGGAGUAAUUUAGUUGACGUAAUGAUCAUUUAAGCACUCCCUUGCACAGAACAUAAAUUUGUUUUGAUAGGAGAUUAUCAGAUCUUUAGAACUUCAGGUUUUAAAAUCUCCAUUCAGUAUGGAUAGCUAUUGUGUUUGAGGGGACUGAUGAAGAAAAUCCCAUGAGGGGAAGAGCUCUUUGCAUAAUGCCUUGCCUUAGUGAGGAGCUGUGAUAACUUUCUGAUACGCAAUACCCAAGGAUAGAGUUCAUGGAACCAUUUUACACCAGCCUUUCCUAGCUUACUUCCACAAGAUCGUCUUAUUUCCUUCUAGGAAGGACCUGGUUUGAAUCCUCUGGUUUGCAGCUGCCAUAGCUCUUCCAGCAUUCUGAGCCAAAGAAAAGUUGGCUCAAGAACGUUUGUGUCCUACUGGGUCUUCUUGUUAGGACCUACAGUGGGCAAUUGGAACUGGUGGAACCUCUCAGGUGGGUUCAUUUCACUUUCCUAUCAUUGUCUUUGCCUGUCAUGAAAGACAGGGGACACAAGACCAACCUGAAACUUUAUUUCCUUGAUCUUUUGGCCAUCAUCUUGAAAAUAGAAGUCCUUUCAUCCUUCCAAGGUUGACCCACGAUUAUUUAGUGUCUU
rnacentral:lncRNA from 1 species